GAUGAAGAACGUAGUGAAAUGCGAUAAGUAAUGUGAAUUGCAGAAUUCCGUGAAUCAUCGAAUCUUUGAACGCACAUUGCGCCCCCUGGCAUUCCGGGGGGCAUGCCUGUCCGAGCGUCAUUUCUGCCCUCAAGCACGGCUUGUGUGUUGGGUGUGGUCCCCCCGGGGACCUGCCCGAAAGGCAGCGGCGACGUCCGUCUGGUCCUCGAGCGUAUGGGGCUCUGUCACUCGCUCGGGAAGGACCUGCGGGGGUUGGUCACCACUAUAUUUUACCACGGUUGACCUCGGAUCAGGUAGGAGUUACCCGCUGAACUUAAGCAUAUCAAUAAGCGAGGA
rnacentral:misc_RNA from 1 species